CCUUUUAUUUUCUUUAACCAUUACAUCAUUCUUUUGCAUUAUCAUUAGGAUUGUCAUUAUUACUGGUAUUAUUAUUAUUAUUAUUUAGUUAUUUAUAUAAUUAAACAAAAAAAAAAGAAAAUAAUAAUAAUAAUAAUAAUAAUAAUAAUAAUAAUAAUAAUAAUAAUAAAUAAUAAUAAAACAAUAGGGUACAGAGAAGAGAGAAGGAAGUGCAGCCGGUAACGGUCUGUCGCCUACGACCACUUUCUUCUCCGUCGUGCCGCUGCCACAUAAGGCCCGAUUUGCUUGGAUAUUUCUUUCCUCUCGCACGCAUGUGUCAUUCUGUGUUUCUAUUUUUCGCGUCUUUUUCCUUUAGCUUGUAAUAAUGUAAUCUUGUGCUUUUAGGUGAUUAGAGAUUGGUGCCUUGACCCAAUUCAUUUAGUUUCAUGCGUCUUUAUGCCUAUAUUUGGU
rnacentral:lncRNA from 1 species